rnacentral:rRNA from 1 species
GACGAACGCUGGCGGCGUGCUUAACACAUGCAAGUCGAACGGAAAGGCCCUGCUUUUGUGGGGUGCUCGAGUGGCGAACGGGUGAGUAACACGUGAGUAACCUGCCCUUGACUUUGGGAUAACUUCAGGAAACUGGGGCUAAUACCGGAUAGGAGCUCCUGCUGCAUGGUGGGGGUUGGAAAGUUUCGGCGGUUGGGGAUGGACUCGCGGCUUAUCAGCUUGUUGGUGGGGUAGUGGCUUACCAAGGCUUUGACGGGUAGCCGGCCUGGGAGGGGGACCGGCCACAUUGGGACUGAGAUACGGCCCAGACUCCUACGGGAGGAAGCAGUGGGGAAUAUUGCACAAUGGGCGGAAGCCUGAUGCAGCAACGCCGCGUGCGGGAUGACGGCCUUCGGGUUGUAAACCGCUUUCGCAUGUGACGAAGCGUGAGUGACGGUAAUGGGUAAAGAAGCACCGGCUAACUACGUG